GUGAUGUCAUGUGCUCUUAGAGCCAGGCUCAGAGUUUUCAAAACCAGACCUGGUCCCUGGAGAGGCCCCACUGCAGGCUCCUCCAUCGCCUACUCUGAACACUGCCCAGAGUGAAGGGUCUGCACACCAUUCUUCUUGCACUCAGCCUCCAGUGGUCACCCCAGCAUGUGACACGCAUGGUGAUCUGAGAAUCCUGAGCAGAAGUUUGAACGUCACCCAGCUUUC
rnacentral:lncRNA from 1 species